rnacentral:rRNA from 1 species
AUACGUAGGUGGCGAGCGUUGUCCGGAAUUACUGGGUGUAAAGGGUGCGUAGGCGGGUUGACAAGUCAGAUGUGAAAUCCCAUGGCUUAACUGUGGGACUGCAUUUGAAACUGUUGGCCUUGAGUGCAGGAGAGGUAAGCGGAAUUCCCAGUGUAGCGGUGAAAUGCGUAGAUAUUGGGAGGAACACCAGUGGCGAAGGCGGCUUACUGGACUGCAACUGACGCUGAUGCACGAAAGCGUGGGGAUCAAACAGGAUUAGAUACCCUGGUAGUCCACGCUGUAAACGAUGGAUACUAGGUGUAGGGGGUAUCGACCCCUCCUGUGCCGGAGUAAACACAAUAAGUAUCCCACCUGGGGAGUACGGCCGCAAGGUUGA